rnacentral:rRNA from 1 species
UCGGCGAGUGAACAGGAAUUAGCCCAGGCCGAAUCCCAAGGGGCAACCUGCGGGAAAUGUAGCUUUAAGGCAUUCUUAUUGUACCGUUGAGAGUUGAUUCUAAGUUCACUUGAUUGUGAGUUUCCACGGAGGGUGCAAGUCCCGUGUGGUUCAACUUGAAGUGGUUUUUGAAUGCUGUAGAGUCGGGUUGUUUGCGAGUGCAGCCCUAAUCAGGUGGUAAACUCCAUCUAAGGCUAAAUAAAACAUGAAACCGAUAGCCAACAAGUACCGUGAGGGAAAGUUGAAAAGAACUUUGAAGAGAGAGUUCAAUAGUACGUGAAAUCGUUUAGAGGUAAGCGGGUAGAGCUGAAGUGUGGCUUUGGAAAUUGAUUCAUUCUGUACAAAGGCAUUUGUAUCUGCAUUCGAUUUAUAGACGAGUGUGGGUAUUUAUAUGCUUGGGGAAUGGGUUGUUUUUCAUUGGCAUUCACUGUGAACUGUAUCUUGUAAUUAGCACGUGAAAUACCAGGUGGUUGUUGAACUCCGGUUUGACAAUUCUAUAGGAUUUCGCUGCUUGUAUUUGAGAUAUGGGGCUAUGCAGUACGAGUCCUGUAGGACGGUAUAAGCACAGUUUUUGGAUUCGGGUUUGUCUUGUGAGUCUGUAGACACCAUGAUAAUCCUGUCUCUGAAAGCAGCAGUGCCUCUAUACAGAGUACUCAUAUUCACGGUGACAAUAGUAAGUCUGUACCUGCCCCGUCUUGAAACACGGACCAAGGAGUUUAGCUUAUACGCGAGUCAUUGGGUUAUAUUAAACCUAAAGGCGAAGUGAAAGUAAAAGCUGACUUUAGUCAGCCUAGGUGUGAUCCGUGAUCGGACGCUUUUGCGAAUGUGAUCGGCGCAGCACCGGCUCAUGCGCAACUUUUUAAGUUGACUGAAGCUAGAGCGUAUAUGCUGAGACCCGAAAGAUGGUGAUCUAUGCUUGCAUAAGCUGAAGCCAUGGGAAACUCUGGUGGAGGGCUGUAACGGUUCUGACGUGCAAAUCGAUCGUUAAAUGUGAGUAUAGGGGCGAAAGACUAAUCGAACCAUCUAGUAGCUGGUUCCUGCCGAAGUUUCCCUCAGGAUAGCUAGUGCUCGGAAACCAAGUUUUAUCCGGUAAAGCGAAUGAUUAGAGGUAAUGGGGAUCACAGAUCCUCAACCUAUUCUCAAACUUUAAAUGGGUGAGAAGUUAGGCUCGUUUAAAUAGAGCCUGACAUGGAAUUUGAGUGCUAUGUGGGCCAUUUUUGGUAAGCAGAACUGGCGCUGCGGGAUGAACCGAAAUGACGGUUAAGGUGCCUAACAAGACACUCAUGAGAUACCACAAAAGGUGUUGGUUGAUUAUGACAGCAGGACGGUGGCCAUGGAAGUUGGAAUCCGCUAAGGAGUGUGUAACAACUCACCUGCCGAAUCAACCAGCCCUGAAAAUGGAUGGCGCUGGAGUGUCUGACCUAUACCGUCAUGUGAUCGGGAUUGAUAAUUAUCACCCGUCACAAGUAGGCAGGCGAUGUGGUAAGCGUUGAAGCCUUGGGCGUAAGCCUGGGUGGAGCUGCCACUUGUGCAGAUCUUGGUAGCAGUAGCAAUUAUUCAAGUGAGAACCUUGAAGGCCGAUGUGGAGAAGGGUA